rnacentral:lncRNA from 1 species
UUCCACGCCAUUAUUGCUAAGGAAGAGGAUUUCUCGGAUCCCGAAAAUCCGAUUUAUCCUUCACAGUCGGUGGGAUAAGGUUUGGUCGAGGUGGUGGUCGUUGGUGUGCAUUGGAGGGACCAGCAUUGUCGGACGAUGAGGGUUGAUUGCCGGAGGAGGAAGCUUGAGCUCUGCGGGUUCCAUGGUGAUGAGAGAUGGGCGAUGUUCUGGAGUGGACCAUCCUGGACAGGGGAGAUAUUCUGACUUGGUUUGUCUUCCUUUUCCUGUUUGCAGUAAGUGGC